rnacentral:lncRNA from 1 species
GCCUUUAAAUACAAACAUAAAAGUGUACUCAAACGAGGGAGACACUAUUUGUAAUAAAAUAUCACCAUGAUCCAAAUAUUAUUUGUGAGAAAUAUAUUGUCCACUUCUUCCUCCAUAAGUACAUGAAUCAUUGACCCCUAGUGCAUAUUGCCUCAAUAUUUUUUUUUUUUGGUUACAGAGAAAAAAAGAAAACAGAAACAGAAAAAGAAAGGAAACAAACAGAAACAGAAAAGAAGGGAAACUAGCUAGCCCCUUGGAAAGAAGGUUCCACAGGCAUCUUCCCUAAUAAGCGGUAACAUCUCUUCUGGUGCAGAAGCAUGAAAAGUCAAAACAACAUCCGUAGCCGCUCCCAUUUUAGCUAGAAAAUCGGCGCAAUGAUUCUCCUCCCGAAGAGUAUGAAAAAUAGAAGAACCGAUGAGAAUGAUCAAGUCCUUAAUAUCAUGAAUAAGAGUGGCGUAGGUAUGAAAAUUCAAAGGUGGACCGUUGAUGAGGCUGACCGAAUGGAGCGAAUCGGAGUAGCACACAAAAUCAGAUAUUCCUAGAGCUCUAACCAUGCGCAAUCCUUGAUAGAUUGCUUGCAAUUCAGCAAUAAGAAUGUCAGAACAGUCAGCAAUGUGUCCAGAGAAUCCUGAAUAUUGCCUCAAUUAAUAAUGAGCUUUUUUUCUUCUUUUUUAAGGAACAAUUAAUAAUAAUGAGCUGACUAGCCCAUAAAGUUUUGAAUUUAACUCUUGUUGUGAGUGUGAGACCUCUUGAAUGGACGACAUGUACAUCUGUAAAUACGUGAAAGUCUCGAUAAACCCCAAAUGCCUGCUCAGAUAAACUUUUAACUCCAUCAUACGUGAAAUUGUGAAUCAUUGAUAAAAA